rnacentral:rRNA from 1 species
GAUAAACGCUGGCGGCGUGCCUAAUACAUGCAAGUCGAGCGAACGGACGAGAAGCUUGCUUCUCUGAUGUUAGCGGCGGACGGGUGAGUAACACGUGGAUAACCUACCUAUAAGACUGGGAUAACUUCGGGAAACCGGAGCUAAUACCGGAUAAUAUUUUGAACCGCAUGGUUCAAAAGUAAAAGACGGUCUUGCUGUCACUUAUAGAUGGAUCCGCGCUGCAUUAGCUAGUUGGUAAGGUAACGGCUUACCAAGGCAACGAUGCAUAGCCGACCUGAGAGGGUGAUCGGCCACACUGGAACUGAGACACGGUCCAGACUCCUACGGGAGGCAGCAGUAGGGAAUCUUCCGCAAUGGGCGAAAGCCUGACGGAGCAACGCCGCGUGAGUGAUGAAGGUCUUCGGAUCGUAAAACUCUGUUAUUAGGGAAGAACAUAUGUGUAAGUAACUGUGCACAUCUUGACGGUACCUAAGCAGAAAGCCACGGCUAACUACGU